GCACUGCUGACGAGUCCCAGAUAGGACGAAACAGCUGCCCAGUGC
rnacentral:hammerhead_ribozyme from 1 species